AUGGUGGUGCAUCUUCUCUGUUGACCAUCUUGUUUCCCAAAUGGUUCUACUAUAGGUAAGGUGACAUAGAACUAGCCACAAUAGUUAAACUUGCCUCUUCUAUAAUUUUUUGUGCUUUUUAGGGUCAUGAUCCUGGACACCUGAAACUUCAAAAUAAAGAAACCAUAGACAAAAGGAGUUAAGGCUCUUCCACUAGAUUCCGGGGCUCCCUGAUCAGGCGAGGCUGACUGGUCAUCAAUUCCCAGCAGUCUACCCAUCUCCACUGCCUCAUUGCUGAGAUUAUAGCAGCCUGGGUUUUUAUGUGAGUCUAAGGGAUUGAAUUACAGAUCCAUGUGCUUGCCUGACAAGCCCAUUUUCUAAACCAAGACACCUCCUUAGCACUCACACAUUGGGGAAUUUCCAAGGUAGACUGUACUCAGUCAAACAUAGCUGCCUGGGAAAAGGUGGGCUUUCUUUCAUUCAGAAAGUGACAGUACAGGCCAUGACUGAACACAUGGGUACCAAUGAUUCUUAGUGCACAGGAUGGGAUGGGAGGCAUUGCCCUUUGCUCUCAUCCUUGCCCACCAACCCAGCUCCCAGUCUCACCCUCUGUCAGCAGACAGGCAAGAAUUGUGCAUUCUACAUUUUCACUUGUUGCAAACCCUCUGCUGCCAGGAGCUACCUGGAGCUUCCUGAGCAUACGUUGUGGAGCCACCAAGCCAGAGGCGAACCUCAUGCCAGAAUCUAUGAAGCCUUGUGGGUUUCGCUGUGUAACAGGCCUGGCUAUCCUGGAACUUUGAACAGCAGGAUGGCCUUGAAUUUACAGAAUUCACCAAACUCUGUUUCUGGGAUUAAAGGUGUGUGCCACCAUGCCAAGCUCAAAUUAUUUUUGAGAGAGAGUUCUGUAUCAAAAUGAUAACUUCCUUGUUUUUAAUGACAUCAUUGAUGUCAUCACAUCCUGACAGACACGGUUCCAAGGUGGCCUGGUGUCAAGAGGCAUUGGUUUUUCUCCUCAGUUUCUCUGGAAUGGAAAAUUCUUUUACCCAUUGCUCUGUGGCAUCUGUCUUUUCAGAAAAAUAAAAGACCUGUCCUGUAUCAAAUCUACUCCAUCUCCUGGAGUACAGACCGUGGCAGCUUCAAGGUGACCCCUAAUGGCUCCUUAAUGCUGGUAUCUUGCCCCAGGAUGUCCCCCCUCCAUGCAGAGGAUUGUUUUGUGUGCUCGAGAAGAGCAACAGAGAGCAUGGCACACCGCUACUGCGUAGGUUUCGAAAGCCAUCUCCCGUCUUACAUCUUUCAUCUUCCCUCUUUCUGUUCAUGUCUCUGAUACCCCAACACCUUCAACACAUCUAUCACUUGCAGAGGGGAAAAACCAGCAUGAUGCCUUGCGACAUUUAGGCUAUUGAAGGAGAAGUUCCAGAAAACAGACGACUGCAUUAUUGAGUCUGGCAAACAGAUCCUUCUUCAGUUGAAACACUGGCUCCUGAGGACACCUUUCCUGCAGUACCAUGAAAGUUCAUCAGUCAGAACUUUCUGGAGCUUUCACUCAGAACCCAUAAAAUAAACGAUGAAAGUCCAUUGUUUUACUUUGCUAAAUCCAGGGGAAUUUGUGAUGUGACAAUGGGUGCUAAAGGUAGGAAUGGUAAAUUAUUCAUUUCCAUUUCUAUGUUGCUAUCUCACGAAAGUCUGA
rnacentral:sRNA from 1 species